UUGGGCGUAAGCGCGCGCAGGCGGUUUCUUAAGUCUGAUGUGAAAGCCCACGGCUUAACCGUGGAGGGUCAUUGGAAACUGGGAGACUUGAGUGCAGAAGAGGAAAGUGGAAUUCCAAGUGUAGCGGUGAAAUGCGUAGAGAUUUGGAGGAACACCAGUGGCGAAGGCGACUUUCUGGUCUGCAACUGACGCUGAGGCGCGAAAGCAUGGGGAGCAAACAGGAUUAGAUACCCUGGUAGUCCAUGCCGUAAACGAUGAGUGCUAAGUGUUAGGGGGUUUCCGCCCCUUAGUGCUGCAGCUAACGCAUUAAGCACUCCGCCUGGGGAGUACGACCGCAAGGUUGAAACUCAAAGGAAUUGACGGGGGCCCGCACAAGCGGUGGAGCAUGUGGUUUAAUUCGAAGCAACGCGAAGAACCUUACCAGGUCUUGACAUCCCAGUGACCGCUCUAGAGAUAGAGUUUUCCCUUCGGGGACAUUGGUGACAGGUGGUGCAUGGUUGUCGUCAGCUCGUGUCGUGAGAUGUUGGGUUAAGUCCCGCAACGAGCGCAACCCUUAAUCUUAGUUGCCAUUAUUUAGUUGGGCACUCUAAGGUGACUGCCGGUGACAAACCGGAGGAAGGUGGGGGAUGA
rnacentral:rRNA from 1 species